CCCUAUGGGGUGCCCAUGCCGGCUGUUGUUCUCGAGAUUGGAUUUGCAACACAGGCGAGUGAAAGGGGUGAAAUGCUUGAACCCUCUAAGCAGAAGUUGAUCGCGGAAGCAGUAUUGAAAAGCAUUGAAGAAUAUUUUCGCUAGAUAACCCAAGGAAAACCAAUGAGGAGCGGGGGGCGAAAGCCAGACGAAUUAAGGGAAGUACGGAUUACGCGGAAUUAUUUAAAAUCCGCGAGAGGAUCUGCUUUGAUUGAAAUGGGCAAUACCCGGGUGAUCUGUACUGCAAGUAUAGAAAACGGCGUGCCGGAUUUCUUAAGAAAUUCAGGGAGGGGUUGGCUGACAGCCGAAUAUUCUAUGCUUCCCGCAGCAACCCAUACGCGCAGCGUGAGAGAGGUGGCCAGAGGACGAAUUGGCGGGAGGGC
rnacentral:rRNA from 1 species